UUGGGAUUAUGCUGACACAACCUAUGGGCCAUUAUCUGCACUGAAUAUUGUUACACCAUCAUUGUUAGUAGGUUAGUUUGUUAUUUGUGUUGGUCCAGAUAAACAACCUUUGACUUAAAACUAUGGCAAGUGUUGAUUUCAACAUGCAUUGAAAAUAAUGUGCAGAGUCAGAAAUCAAACUUUCAAGAAACGAAAGUACGGAAUUUUUCAAGUUUAUAUCUCUUUGAAAAGAUUGCAAGGUGAUUGGUUACUUAUCGGCUAAUACAACACAAUACUUAAAAGAUUUCGAGUGAGAAUCAAUGAAGGGCGGUGGAGCAUGUAAGAUAUUGAUCUUAAAUGCUUGGCUCAUUUACUCUUCGUUGAUUUAGUUCUCUAUUUAUAGAGAAUGUUUGGCAUGAAUAAACAUUUGUUUAUUCAUGUAGUUGACUUCUGGAAAGUAAUCGUUUGGCAUAUUCAUUGAAUCCGAAAUCUUCCAUUUGCCAACUUGAAGUCUGCCAUCCUUAUCAUGUCAGGCAGGUGGGGUCAUCAGAUAUUUGAUGAUCUGUCUGAUCCGGGUCAGAUUGUAAUCAUCAUAUUAUCAUCAGAUAGAUCAGAUUUCGUCUUUUCCUAGUCUGUUCUUCUUCCUUUUGUGGAAAGAUCUCUUGAUCUUUCUCUGAUGCAAAUAAUCGAAGUCGAAUCAUCUCAUUGUCAUUUUAUCAUCAUUGGUUUUAACCUUUCUUGACUUGUUAUUCAUUUGUUCUGAUUAAGCAUCAGAUCUUCUUCAUUUUACUUCAACACUUGCAAAUUCAAAUAAGAGGCCCUAACAAUUUGUAUUCCCGUAUUUGUAAUGGGAUGAUAAUUUUACUAAUGAUGACCUGGACCUGUUCGGAAUGUGCCCGUAGUAUGCAUCUGCAUAAAAUUUGUUCCAUAGUAUAUACAAACACAUAUCAGUAAUAUGCCUCUCAAGCUACAUGUUGAUUUUGAUUUGAUAUAUAGCUCUAAACACAUAACAUAAAUGAAACAUAAAUUUUAAAUUAAAGACUUCCACGUUUAUUUUUGCCUUAUUGCAUAUAAGAUUUUUUUUCUCUAAUUCGAUCUUGUACUUUUGACUUCACUCUAUAUAUUUGUUGCAACGUUUACUUACAGUCUAAAAUUUCAAUGUUAGUGUCCAAUUAAUAAUUUGUUCUGAUUUUGACUAUUCAGGAUCAAAGCCCGAUUUGAAUUUCUCUUGGUUAUUAAAAUUCAAGGUUGGUGUCUAAUGAAUAAAGACCCAGUUCAAAUAUUCGAAACUUGAAUUCAAAUUCAAUAUUUAAAUUUAGUUUGGUUGAGCUUAACAUGUUAGUGUUUGAGCUUAACAUAUUUUGUGUCUUACACAUGUCAACACAUUUAAAACACAAUUAUAUUUGUGUCUAAACUAGU
rnacentral:lncRNA from 1 species